rnacentral:rRNA from 1 species
UACGUAGGGGGCAAGCGUUGUCCGGAAUCAUUGGGCGUAAAGCGCGCGUAGGCGGCCCGGUAAGUCCGCUCUGAAAGUCCAGGGCUCAACCCUGGAAAGCGGGUGGAUACUGCCGGGCUAGAAUCCGGAAGAGGCGAGUGGAAUUCCUGGUGUAGCGGUGGAAAUGCGCAGAUAUCAGGAGGAACACCAGUGGCGAAGGCGGCUCACUGGACCGGUACUGACGCUGAUGCGCGAAAGCGUGGGGAGCAAACGGG